rnacentral:rRNA from 1 species
GACGAAGGGGGCUAGCGUUGUUCGGAAUUACUGGGCGUAAAGCGUGUGUAGGUGGUUACCGUAGUCAGGCGUGAAAGCCUUGAGCUCAACUCAAGAAAUGCGCUUGAUACUGGGCAGCUAGAGGACCGGAGAGGAUAGUGGAAUUCCCAGUGUAGUGGUGAAAUACGUAGAGAUUGGGAAAGAACACCAGUGGCGGAAGGC